rnacentral:rRNA from 1 species
GACGAACGCUGGCGGCGUGCCUCAAACAUGCAAGUCGAGCGAGGGUUGGCCGGUCCGCAAGGAUCGGUUCAACUCUAGCGGCGAACGGGUGAGUAACACGUGGGCAAUCUGCCCCGCAGACGGGGAUAACCUCGGGAAACCGGGGCUAAUACCCGGUACCCUCGCCGGGCGGCAUCGCCUGGUGAGGAAAGGUCGCAAGACGCUGUGGGAUGAGCCCGUGGCCUAUCAGCUAGUUGGUGGGGUAACGGCCUACCAAGGCGACGACGGGUAGCUGGCCUGAGAGAGUGGUCAGCCACACUGGGACUGAGACACGGCCCAGACUCCUACGGGAGGCAGCAGUUGGGAAUUUUGGGCAAUGGGCGCAAGCCUGACCCAGCGACGCCGCGUGGGGGAUGAAGGCCUUCGGGUUGUAAACCCCUGUCAGGAGGGAAGAAGCCCCGCAAGGGGUGACGGUACCUCCAGAGGAAGCCCCGGCUAACUACGUGCCAGCAGCCGCGGUAA